rnacentral:lncRNA from 1 species
UCUUCUUCUCAUCCUUUCUCUCCUUGGUUUGAAUAUGCAACCACCAUCAUCUCUCAUCAUAUCUCCCCUAUUUUUGGCAAAGAAGGUGUAACCAAAGGAACCACGGACUCCAAACCCACAAUUCUUGUUAGAAAUGAUGUGGGAAGAUUGCUUCUUAACGCGUUGUUAUAUCCAAGCAUAAAGACAAACUUGCAAAAGAACUCCAUUGUUGCUAUUUUUCAUACUGCCGUACGUUCAUUGUUCAUAUACAAUAGAUUCUGCGGUGGUUCUAACAGUGGGUUAGUGGCUGGUGGUGACGGUUCGACGGCGCCGACGUCGCCGAUGAUGUCACCGAUGAAACCCUCACCCUCCUUCUCCGGCAAACCCUCAUACUCUGGCGAACCCCCACUCCUACUCCAGCGACCCCCCACUCCUACUCCCGCGACCAUCGCGGCCAUCAUCACCGCUCCGAUUGGGGGGUAGCGAGCUCCGAUUUGAUGUUUUGUGGUUGUUGGUGUCCAGAUCUAUGACGUUGGUUCUAACAGUGUUUUGUGGUUGUUGGUGUCCAGAUCUAUGACGUUGGUUCUAACAGUGGGUUAGUGGCUGGUUGUUGGUGUCCAGAUCUAUGACGUUGGUUCUAAACGUAAACCGUAAUUUUUUUUAACAUAAAACGUAAAAAACGUGAAGCGUAAAAAGUUUUACAUAAAACGUUUUACGUAAAAUGUAAAAAGUUUCAACGUAAAACGUAAAAAGUUUUACGUAAAACGUAAAAACUUUAAAGUUUUAACGUAAAAUGUUUAACGUAAAAAUUUUACGUAAAAUAUAAAAAGUUUUAUGUAAAACGUAUAAAUUUUUAACGUAAAACGUACAACAUACAAAUUAUCCCGUAAAACUGUAUAUUUUUUUUUUGGAAAAAAAAACGGGCCGUAAAAUACGGAACGUAAAAAACGGCGCGAAAAUAACGGGGCUAAACGGGGCGUAAAAAAAAUUUGGUAAAACGGGGUGUAAAAAAAUUGGCCGGAGACGGAGCAUAAAAACGACGCCUAAAUAAACGGCGCCUUAAAACACGUGGAAAAAACGGUGCGUUAAAAACGUGGAAAAAUCGGCGCGUUAAAAAGGUGUAAAAAAACGGCGCGUUAAAAAAUGUGAAAAAAUCGGCGCGUUAAAAAACGUGUAAAAAACGGUGCGUUAAAAAAACGUCGAUUGAGAAAAACGGCGUCUUAAAAAAACGGCGCGUUAAAAAGCCCGGUGUGCAAAAACCGGCGCGUAAAAGUUUUUGUUUUGUUCAAAAAAUUUGAAAGUAAAAAUACUUUUCAUAAAAAAAUUCUUUUUAAAAAAUAAAAGUAAUAUAAUAAAACAAAAA